rnacentral:rRNA from 1 species
CAGUAGCCACGGUAAUACGAAGGGUGCAAGCGUUACUCGGAAUUACUGGGCGUAAAGCGUGCGUAGGCGGCUUCUUAAGUCGGAUGUGAAAUCCCUGAGCUUAACUUAGGAAUUGCAUUCGAUACUGGGAAGCUAGAGUAUGGGAGAGGAUGGUAGAAUUCCAGGUGUAGCGGUGAAAUGCGUAGAGAUCUGGAGGAAUACCGAUGGCGAAGGCAGCCAUCUGGCCUAAUAUUGACGCUGAGGUACGAAAGCAUGGGGAGCAAACAGGAUUAGAUACCCCUGUAGUCCCUGUCUUUAUACA